rnacentral:rRNA from 1 species
AUUGAACGCUGGCGGAAUGCUUUACACAUGCAAGUCGAGCGGCAGCGCGGGGCAACCUGGCGGCGAGCGGCGAACGGGUGAGUAAUGUAUCGGAACGUGUCCUUGAGUGGGGAGUAGCCUGGUGAAACCGGAACUUAAUACCGCAUACGCAGGAGGACUGGAAAGGACGGGGGAGUCGCAAGACCUCGCGCUCUAGGAGCGGCCGAUAUCCGAUUAGUUUGUUGGUGAGGUAAAGGACUUACCAAGGCGAUGAUCGGUAGCUGGUCUGAGAGGAUGAUCAGCCACACUGGGAC